rnacentral:tRNA from 1 species
AUCCAAGUAGCUCAGUUGGUAGAGCGUGGGGUUGAAGGUCCUAAGGCCAGUGGUUCGAAUCCACUCUUGGGUA